GCAGGUGUAGCUCAGCUGGACAGAGCACCAGGCUCCCGAAUCUGGAGGUCGUGGGUUCGAAUCCCCCCACCUGUG
rnacentral:tRNA from 1 species